CGCGGCCUAUCAGCUUGUUGGUGAGGUAAUGGCUCACCAAGGCGACGACGGGUAGCCGGCCUGAGAGGGCGACCGGCCACACUGGGACUGAGACACGGCCCAGACUCCUACGGGAGGCAGCAGUGGGGAAUAUUGCACAAUGGGCGAAAGCCUGAUGCAGCGACGCCGCGUGAGGGAUGACGGCCUUCGGGUUGUAAACCUCUUUCAGCAGGGAAGAAGCGAAAGUGACGGUACCUGCAGAAGAAGCGCCGGCUAACUACGUGCCAGCAGCCGCGGUAAUACGUAGGGCGCAAGCGUUGUCCGGAAUUAUUGGGCGUAAAGAGCUCGUAGGCGGCUUGUCACGUCGGGUGUGAAAGCCCGGGGCUUAACCCCGGGUCUGCAUUCGAUACGGGCUAGCUAGAGUGUGGUAGGGGAGAUCGGAAUUCCUGGUGUAGCGGUGAAAUGCGCAGAUAUCAGGAGGAACACCGGUGGCGAAGGCGGAUCUCUGGGCCAUUACUGACGCUGAGGAGCGAAAGCGUGGGGAGCGAACAGGAUUAGAUACCCUGGUAGUCCACGCCGUAAACGGUGGGAACUAGGUGUUGGCGACAUUCCACGUCGUCGGUGCCGCAGCUAACGCAUUAAGUUCCCCGCCUGGGGAGUACGGA
rnacentral:rRNA from 1 species